GACUCUUGACAAUGGAUAUCUUGGAUCUUGCAUUAACAAAGAAUGUAGAGACAUAUAAUACUUGGUGUGAAUUACACAAUUACAUGAACCAUCGAGUAUUUGAACAAGAGUUUCUCCCAAAUCUAUUAGGUUGAGGGCAGGUUUUUAUAGGUGUCA
rnacentral:rRNA from 1 species